GUCACUUUGGCCGAGUGGUUAAGGCGCGGGCCUGCUAGUUUCACGAGUUCAAGAACAUGUGAAAGUAGUGGUUCAGCUCGUCUCUUCGGAGGCGCAGGUUCGAAUCCUGCAGGUGACG